CCAGAAAGAAGAGAUUUUAACUCCUACCUCUAACUCCCAAAGCCAGA
rnacentral:tRNA from 9 species